rnacentral:rRNA from 1 species
UACGUAGGUGGCAAGCGUUGUCCGGAUUUACUGGGCGUAAAGAGCGCGCAGGCGGUCGUUCAAGUCGCGUGUGAAAGCCCCCGGCUCAACUGGGGAGGGUCACGCGAUACUGAUCGACUCGAAGGCAGGAGAGGGAAGUGGAAUUCCCGGUGUAGUGGUGAAAUGCGUAGAUAUCGGGAGGAACACCAGUGGCGAAGGCGACUACCCGGCCUGUUUCUUGACGCUGAGGCGCGAAAGCUAGGGGAGCAAACAGG